rnacentral:rRNA from 1 species
UACAGAGGGUGCGAGCGUUGUCCGGAAUCACUGGGCGUAAAGCGCACGUAGGCGGACUCUUAAGUCGGUGGUGAAAUCCUGGAGCUCAACUCCAGAACUGCCUUCGAUACUGAGAGUCUCGAGUCCGAGAGAGGUGAGUGGAACUGCGAGUGUAGAGGUGAAAUUCGUAGAUAUUCGCAAGAACACCAGUGGCGAAGGCGGCUCACUGGCUCGGUACUGACGCUGAGGUGCGAAAGCGUGGGGAGCAAACAGG